ensembl:lncRNA
CGCCCUGGAGCAGCUGCCCUUCCGACCCUGCCUGGGCUAUGACUCAUCUCCGGCGGAGGAGAAAGGGGCCUUUGUGAGCCCCCAGCUCCGGCGUCUCCCGGACAACACCGCCCCCCGGUGGCCGCGAGCCGCGAGGGCUGGGGAAGCCGCCCGAGAGGCAGCGCCCGAGCUCCCCACGAGCUGCGGUGCCAUUGGAAGCGUCAGCGCCCGCCCCUCGGAGUCCAGCCCUGUCGCGGGGAAGAAAGGGGGAGGAACCGCCAACCCCUAGAGGGCAAGUGGGCUCAGCCCUAGGAAAUGCUCCAACCCCUCCCACACGCCCCGGGAAACGGUAUCCCAGAGCUCCGCUCCCUGGAGACCCCUCCAGAGAGGGACCUGGGGCCCCGCCCCGCAGCUGGAGAAGGGGUGAAUGCCUUUCCUGCCGAAAGCCUGGUCAGCCGCCCUGCUUGUUGCGUCUCCAAGACCACGUGUCUGCUACAUUUUAAAAUUAGAUUGGAACAUCUGACUUACUCCUUUUGAAUAUCUGGGUCCAAAGAAAAUGUUCUGUAGAGAGAAGGGAAGAAAAUAAGCAUUUGUUGAGAACCAAGUGUCAGGGCUAAUACAUGGUAGCAAAUGCUGCCCUGCCUGUAUCUCCUCGGCCACCUGAAGUCACCUGCAGACAGCACCUUUAGGAAGGUGGCUUCCUACAUCUCUGCCUAAUGACAUUUCCUGGAUAACCAGCACUCGUUCACAUAGGGGCAGUUCCAAGGCACUUCCUCGUCCUGUAACCGAAUGGCAGCGGCUGUGCUGUCAAGAGAGAAUGACCUCUACCAAGCAAGAAGGGCCAAGAGUUGGGGUGCAGGUGAGACCAUUUCUGACUCCCAGGCCACUUCCUCCUUUGUCACUGGAGAAAGGUCCCUCUUCUCCUUUUGUCACUUUGCAAAUGUCUGCAGCUGCCUUGGCCAAGUGUGGGAUCAGGUCACAUUGCUCUGCCGAGGGCUGGGCUGGGGCCCAGGAAGCCAGACUCUCCAGAUCAGCCUGCCCUGUCCUCCCACCCACCUCUUCCCAGCCCCUGCAAGAAUUCAGUUAGCCCGGAGGAAGAAGGCAACAGCCCUUGGGGGUGUUUUACUGGGCUCCUCAAACAUGGCUGCAGCCCUUCCCAGGAAGCCAGGUUAAGAGAAAACUACAGAACAGAUGGGGCCUGGGAAGGAGGAAGCAUUGGACUGAAGAGGCACAGAGACGAGCAGGGAGAGGGCUGAGUGAUGCAGGUGCAGCCUCCGGGCUGGCUCCAGGCCUUAGACACACAUGGCAGGCCUUCACUUAGUGCCGGGACAGCUCCAGUGGGCAAGCAGAACAACUUUCUUGUUUUUCUGUACCUGUGCCCCAUUUCUGAUUCGGAGUUCCUUUGCCAUUAGGCUGGUGGGGAAAAAUAUGUAACUUCUUUCUUUCUUUAUUUUUUGGAGACAGAAUUUCACUCUGUCGCCCAGGCUGGAGUGCAGUGGUUCCAUCUCGGCUCACUGCAACCUCCACCUGCAGGGUUCAAGCAUUUCUCCGGCCGCAGCCUCCCGAGUAGCUGGGACGACAGGUUCAUGCCACUGUACCCAGCUAAUUUUUGUAUUUUUAGUAGAGAUGGGGUUUCACCAUCUUGCUCAGGCUGGUCUCAAACUCCUAGGCCCAAACAAUCCACCUGCCUCAGAUGCCGCUAGGAUUACCACCCCACCUGGCCUAAAUAUGUAACUUCUUCCAGGAUUUAUGUCCUAGUUCCAAGGUCUUUGUGCAACAUCACGUGGUAGGAUUUGGUCCUCAGAAAACUGUCCAUCACUCUGACGCUGUCCUUGCUGCACUGCCAGAGCCCCUUCAGGGCCAAUGUUUUCUUGUUACUUCAACGUGGUCAGCCUAGAGGAUCUCACUACCUCCCCGAGAACUGCUCCAGGGCCACAGAUCUCUUGCCAUCUGUCAUUCCUUUCUGGGACAGGAGACCCUGCUGGUUCUGGAGGAAUGUGGGGUCUGGUCUCCCCUCUACUUCCGGCCAAGGUGCCUUGAGCAUUUGCACGAAUCUUCUCUUCACUUUUUCUCGCUUCUAGACACAGCUCAGUUCCCUAAGGGUUCAGGCCUUUAAGAAAGAGUUUUAGGGUACUACUCACUCUGCCCCUGCCCUCGAUGCUGCUUGAAUGCGGGAAAGGAAAUGGGAAAAUACAGGAAGAAAAACGAACAUCAAUGAGUGUCUCAAAAUAAUAUCCUGCCACAUACAUUAUCCCAUUUAAUCUCACCACAAUCCUCUGAGUGUUUUUGUUUUUGUUUUUUUAGACAGAGUUUCACUCUUGUUGCCCAGGCUGGAGUGCAGUGGGGUGAUCUUGGCUCACCGCAACCUCUGCCUCCCGGGUUCAAGCUAUUCUCCUGCCUCAGCCUCCCAAGUAGCUGGGAUUACAGGCACGCGCCACCCACCACGCCCGACUAAUUUUAUAUUUUUAGUAGAGAUGGGGUUUCUCCAUGUUGGUCAGACUGGUCUCAAACUCCCGACCUCAGGUGAUCCGCCUGCCUCGGCCUCCCAAAGUGUUGGGAUUACAGGCAUGAGCCACUGCACCAGCCUACAAUCCUCUGAUGUUAUCCACAUUUUACAGGUGGGGAAACCAAGGCUUAAUAAGGUCACAUAACUAGUAAUUCUGUGUCCUUCCCACCUAUAUUCCUGAAAACACUGAGGCAGAUCCCAAACUUUUUUUUUUUUUUGUACACAGAACUCUUUUCUCUCCUUCCUUCUUCCCUCCCUCCCUCUGUCUCUCUCUCUCUCUCUCUUUCUUUCUUUCGAGACGGGGUCUUGCUGUGUUGCCCAGGCUGGUCUCAAGUGAUCCUCCCACCUUGGCCUCCCCAGCGUACUGGGAUUACAGGUGCACCUGGCCCACAGAACUCUUUAUUCAAAAGAAUCUCCCUUGAAAAACCGGAAAGUGUGUUGCUGCUCUGGUCGAAGGCAACUGGGAUGAGGAGCUCAGGGGUUGCCUCCUUAUCUUCACUUCUGGAUGCACCUGUGACACUUCUGUGACUUCACAGGCUCCAAGAGCACAUUUGGAAACCUCUGGGCUGUAUGACCUCCAGGCAGGUUCUAAGGC